AACGAACGCUGGCGGCAUGCCUAACACAUGCAAGUCGAACGAGACCUCCGGGUCUAGUGGCGCACGGGUGCGUAACGCGUGGGAACCUGCCUUUAGGUUCGGAAUAACUCAGUGAAAUUUGAGCUAAUACCGGAUGAUGUCUUCUGACCAAAGAUUUAUCGCGUUUAGAUGGGCACGCGUUGGUUUAGCUUGUUGGUGGGGUAAAGGCCUAUCAGGGCGAGGAUCCAUAGCUGGUCUGAGAGGAAGGGCCGCGACUCUGGGACGAGGACACGGCCGGGACUACUGCGCGAUGGAGGAGAGGCGAAUACAGCAAAAUCGGGUAGAGGCUGAUCGAGCUAUGGCUCGAGAGUCAUUAUGUUCGUAGGGAAGUAAAGCAGGUUUACCCGAGACUGUAAUGACGGUACCGGGAGAAUAAGCACCGGCUAACUCCGUG
rnacentral:rRNA from 1 species